CACAGAGUUAGCCGGGGCUUCCUCUGCAGGUACAAUCAAGUUCCGGACGUAUGAGGCCCAGUCCCUUUUUCCCUGCUGACAGGAGUUUACAAUCCAAAGACCUUCAUCCUCCACGCGGCGUUGCUGCGUCAGGCGUUAGCCCAUUGCGCAAUAUUCCCCA
rnacentral:rRNA from 1 species